rnacentral:rRNA from 1 species
UACGUAGGGUGCAAGCGUUGUCCGGAAUUAUUGGGCGUAAAGAGCUCGUAGGCGGUCUGUCACGUCGGCUGUGAAAUCCCGAGGCUCAACCUCGGGUCUGCAGUCGAUACGGGCAAACUAGAGUAUUGCAGGGGAGAGUGGAAUUCCUGGUGUAGCGGUGAAAUGCGCAGAUAUCAGGAGGAACACCGGUGGCGAAGGCGGGUCUCUGGGCAAGAACUGACGCUGAGGAGCGAAAGCGUGGGGAGCGAACAGG